CGUACUCUAAAUUAUGGAUUUUCGUGUCCAACUUUGACUGUCUAUCUUAUAUGAAAUUUUUUUAUAAUUUAUAUUUUUAUUGUUGUUAGAUGAUAAAACAUGAUUAAUAUUUUAUACGUGAAUUGUCUUUUUAUUUUUUUUCAAAUAAGACAGACAGUCAAACGUUGGGCACGGAAACCAGGGCUUGUCUUUUU
rfam:Oryza sativa Japonica Group DNA, chromosome 3, cultivar: Nipponbare, complete sequence.